AUACAUACCAGUCGUCAUGUUAUUACUACUAGCAAUUCUACAGUAAAUAGAGAUUAUAUUAAAUUUUAAAAGAAUUGACCUGUACCGGGACAUUCUUAGGUGCCCAUUUCACUUUUCUUUUCUCGAUUAUGACCUAGAAAAGAUUUACAUAAAAUGCAGUCCACGGCUGUGUAAACGAGUGGCGAAAACAGUUAAGAGGUCUGCUACUGCUUCUUUCCCAGCCGGUCCAGGGUUUCCAAAGGCCUAAUUCAGCUCAAUCUUUUCAAAUCAUAUAACGCCAUCGAUUAUGUUUGCCAAGGUCAUAGUUACGUUUGAGAUCCAAAUAAAAAAAAAAAUGAUGAAUUAGAGAAUUACACAUUUUUUACCUUGGAGGAAAAACGGAUUUUUGCCUAACUGUCAAAUAUAAAUAUUUUUUUAAAAAUACAAUGGUACUCAAUUUUCCUAAUAAAUAGGAGCAUCCCUUGAAGCAUUCAAACAACCGGUCAUACGCAGUCUAUGCAAAAAUAGACUAACAUGAACAUGAACUCAACAAAAACAAAGGCACACAGAAGAAGCCAAUAACCUAGACAGACCAGUUAUAUGCAUGUAAAUUAAGCAUUGGAUCUAAUUCAAAGUGUGUAUAUAUAUCAAUCCUACCUUGAAUAGUGUAAUAACUAGCGCUAUCUAUGAAGGAAAAAUAACACCAUGCUGAUUAACACAAAUAUAUGAACGAAAACAGCAACUAAAAAGCCCAUCAAAUAAUGAAAAGAAUACGCAUUUAAACAAAGGAACUGGGGAAGGUGCAAGAAACCACGCAAAGAGGGGAACAAAAAAAUUAAGCCAAACAAACCAAAUAGCACGCAAUGUGCAAAAAUAUUAAAAGAGAAAUAAGAGAUAAGGAUUUGCAAGAAAAUUUUACAGAUGCAUGAAACCUCUACUAAUAAAACUCCAUAACUAAACAUGAUGAGCUGCUAAACUACAUGUUUAUGACACAUAAAAAGGUAUCUUCACAAAUUAAAAGUAAUAAGGUCGAGUGACUAACUCUUACAACAUCUUGCGAAAGAAUGUCAUCUUUCACAGCCCCGAAGCAGUCAGUGAGUAUUUACCUACAUGAAUUAAGGCCAAAGGAACCUUUUAGUCAGUCAGCUAGAUAUUUCACCAUUGCUCCCUUUCAAACUCGAAGAGUCC
rnacentral:lncRNA from 1 species